UUUAAUUCGAAGCAACGCGAAGAACCUUACCAGGUCUUGACAUCCUCUGACAACCCUAGAGAUAGGGCUUUCCCUUCGGGGACAGAGUGACAGGUGGUGCAUGGUUGUCGUCAGCUCGUGUCGUGAGAUGUUGGGUUAAGUCCCGCAACGAGCGCAACCCUUGAUCUUAGUUGCCAGCAUUUAGUUGGGCACUCUAAGGUGACUGCCGGUGACAAACCGGAGGAAGGUGGGGAUGACGUCAAAUCAUCAUGCCCCUUAUGACCUGGGCUACACACGUGUUACAAUGGACAGAACAAAGGGCUGCGAGACCGCAAGGUUUAGCCAAUCCCACAAAUCUGUUCUCAGUUCGGAUCGCAGUCUG
rnacentral:rRNA from 1 species